rnacentral:rRNA from 1 species
GAUGAACGCUGGCGGCGUGCCUAAUACAUGCAAGUCGAGCGAACGGACGAGAAGCUUGCUUCUCUGAUGUUAGCGGCGGACGGGUGAGUAACACGUGGAUAACCUACCUAUAAGACUGGGAUAACUUCGGGAAACCGGAGCUAAUACCGGAUAAUAUUUUGAACCGCAUGGUUCAAAAGUGAAAGACGGUCUUGCUGUCACUUAUAGAUGGAUCCGCGCUGCAUUAGCUAGUUGGUAAGGUAACGGCUUACCAAGGCAACGAUGCAUAGCCGACCUGAGAGGGUGAUCGGCCACACUGGAACUGAGACACGGUCCAGACUCCUACGGGAGGCAGCAGUAGGGAAUCUUCCGCAAUGGGCGAAAGCCUGACGGAGCAACGCCGCGUGAGUGAUGAAGGUCUUCGGAUCGUAAAACUCUGUUAUUAGGGAAGAACAUAUGUGUAAGUAACUGUGCACAUCUUGACGGUACCUAAUCAGAAAGCCACGGCUAACUACGUGCCAGCAGCCGCGGUAAUACGUAGGUGGCAAGCGUUAUCCGGAAUUAUUGGGCGUAAAGCGCGCGUAGGCGGUUUUUUAAGUCUGAUGUGAAAGCCCACGGCUCAACCGUGGAGGGUCAUUGGAAACUGGAAAACUUGAGUGCAGAAGAGGAAAGUGGAAUUCCAUGUGUAGCGGUGAAAUGCGCAGAGAUAUGGAGGAACACCAGUGGCGAAGGCGACUUUCUGGUCUGUAACUGACGCUGAUGUGCGAAAGCGUGGGGAUCAAACAGGAUUAGAUACCCUGGUAGUCCACGCCGUAAACGAUGAGUGCUAAGUGUUAGGGGGUUUCCGCCCCUUAGUGCUGCAGCUAACGCAUUAAGCACUCCGCCUGGGGAGCACGACCGCAAGGUUGAAACUCAAAGGAAUUGACGGGGACCCGCACAAGCGGUGGAGCAUGUGGUUUAAUUCGAAGCAACGCGAAGAACCUUACCAAAUCUUGACAUCCUUUGACAACUCUAGAGAUAGAGCUUUCCCCUUCGGGGGACAAAGUGACAGGUGGUGCAUGGUUGUCGUCAGCUCGUGUCGUGAGAUGUUGGGUUAAGUCCCGCAACGAGCGCAACCCUUAAGCUUAGUUGCCAUCAUUAAGUUGGGCACUCUAAGUUGACUGCCGGUGACAAACCGGAGGAAGGUGGGGAUGACGUCAAAUCAUCAUGCCCCUUAUGAUUUGGGCUACACACGUACUACAAUGGACAAUACAAAGGGCAGCGAAACCGCGAGGUCAAGCAAAUCCCAUAAAGUUGUUCUCAGUUCGGAUUGUAGUCUGCAACUCGACUACAUGAAGCUGGAAUCGCUAGUAAUCGUAGAUCAGCAUGCUACGGUGAAUACGUUCCCGGGUCU